rnacentral:rRNA from 1 species
UACGGAGGGUGCAAGCGUUGUUCGGAAUUACUGGGCGUAAAGGGCGUGUAGGCGGAUCGAGUAGUCGGGUGUGAAAGCCCUGGGCUCAACCCAGGAAGUGCGCCCGAAACCAUCAAUCUAGAGAUUCGGAGGGGAGCGGGGAAUUCCCAGUGUAGAGGUGAAAUUCGUAGAUAUUGGGAGGAACACCGGUGCCGAAGGGGCCGCUCUGGACGAAUACUGACGCUAAGACGCGAAAGCGUGGGUAGCAAACAGG